rnacentral:lncRNA from 1 species
AUCGGUGUAGAUUAAUUUGCACCAAUCAAAUAAUUUUUAUUCUUAUAUAAGAUAUAAGAUGUUGGAAUGAAUUGAAAUACGUGUGUAUAACAUCUAAUAGUGGUUGAUUCCAACAGAAUAGGUCAGUAUCUCAUACAGAUCAAUGCUUGAAUUUCAAUCAAUAUAGGUGUCGAUUUUACGUUCAAUGUUCAAUACUGUUUCGAACAAGAUUAUCUUUAGUAGAGAGAAAAUAUCAAAAUAAAAAGAAUAAUGACACAAAUUAAAUAUUUUGUUUACUAUAAUUUUAAAAAAUUUCUAUAAAGGGACUCAAAACAUUUAAAAAGGUACAACUGUACAAGUUGGAUCCAGGAAAAAUCCAAUUCAAUUUAAUACUAUAUACUGAUUCGGGCAUUUUCUGGUACACUAAACCUUUAAGAAGAAAUAUAUUAGAAGCAUCCAUAAAUAAAAAAAAGUUCUUUACAAUUUAGAAUUUGUGAGAUUUGCAUUCCAAAAUCAAAGAAAGAUGCCUCGUGGAACACUUGAAGUUGUUUUGAUCAGUGCCAAAGGCCUUGAGGACAAUGAUUUUCUCU